ensembl:rRNA 5S_rRNA 5S ribosomal RNA
UAUGAGAGCCAUAUCUCCCUGAAGUUCUCGCCUGGUGUCCCACUGAAGCUAAGCAGGGUUGAGUCUGGCCAGUACUUGGAUGGGAGACCUGCUGGGGAAAACUAAGAUUGCUGCUGGAA